rnacentral:sRNA from 2 species
AUGGCUGUCGUCAGCUCGUGUCGUGAGAUGUUGGGUUAAGUCCCGCAACGAGCGCAACCCUCGCCCUUAGUUGCCAUCAUUCAGUUGGGCACUCUAAGGGGACUGCCGGUGAUAAGCCGCGAGGAAGGUGGGGAUGACGUCAAGUCCUCAUGGCCCUUACAGGCUGGGCUACACACGUGCUACAAUGGCGGUGACAGUGGGACGCAAUGGAGCAAUCCUGCGCAAAUCUCAAAAAGCCAUCUCAGUUCAGAUUGCACUCUGCAACUCGAGUGCAUGAAGGUGGAAUCGCUAGUAAUCGCGGAUCAGCAUGCCGCGGUGAAUACGUUCCCGGGCCUUGUACACACCGCCCGUCACACCAUGGGAGUUGGUUUUACCUGAAGACGGUGCGCUAACCGCAAGGAGGCAGCCGGCCACGGUAGGGUCAGCGACUGGGGUGAAGUCGUAACAAGGUAGCCGUAGGGGAACCUGCGGCUGAAUCACCUCCUUUCUAAGGAUGGUUCUUCAGGAGCUCGCUCUUAUCGAACCUCUUUUGAAACAUCAGGGGCCAACAGUUUCAGGAUUGUUGAGCUCCAUUGGCGGGAUUUCGCCGUCUUCGUUUCUCUUUCUUCGCGGACGAACACGCGCCAGGGGCUGCGCUUGUGCGACGCAUUGGCGUGAGCCGAUGCGCGCGAGCAAGUUCCGAUCCUUUUUAGGGAAAAUGGUCGUUAGGGGCUUGUAGCUCAGUUGGUUAGAGCGCGCGCUUGAUAAGCGUGAGGUCGGAAGUUCAAGUCUUCCCAGGCCCACCACGCUUCGCCGUUGGCUACGCGUGGCGCAGCCACGCAAGAUAACAAGCGAAGCGUGCCCGGCAUAGCCCGAAGGGCGACGACGGGCGAGCCGUCUCAGGAAAUGGGGCCAUAGCUCAGCUGGGAGAGCGCGUGCUUUGCAAGCAUGAGGUCGUCGGUUCGAUCCCGUCUGGCUCCACCACGCUUCGCCCUUCGGGCUACGCGUGGCGCAGCCACGCAAGAGCCGAAGGGCGAAGCGUGCCCGGCGUAGCUCGAAGAGCGAAGACGGGCUGACUAUGGUCGCCAGACACGAUCGCUCAACAAUAUCGUCCGCGAAACAUCACUUCGCACGUUGCGUCCUUAUCGGAUGUGCGUGCGGGAUUUCUGACAUCGUAAAGAGGAGAUUGAUCCGAGUUUGGGAUCUGUGAAGCAAUUCACAGGUCACAAUCACUAUCUCCGGGACAAUGAGCGCUGAGGCAUCGCAAGAUGUUUUGGUGCACGGCGUCCUUGUUGGUGAAGCUUGACCGCCUCAUCAUCGGGUUGAUCUUACGAAGCAAGCUGGUCUUUCUAAUCAGUGUCCAGCCGCAUGCAGCAUUCAUCGAGGGUGCGCGCCUUUUGAUUUCGAUCCUGAGGCAAGUGUGCGGACUACAUUCUGCCGAGUGUGUGGACAUUGAUAAUGAGAGCAAUCAAGUGCCUUAAGGGUGUUCGGUGGAUGCCUUGGCGCUGAGAGGCGAUGAAGGACGUGCUACGCUGCGAUAAGCCGUGGGGAGCUGCGAAGAAGCUUUGAUCCACGGAUUUCCGAAUGGGGAAACCCGG